UCAUCUAAGUCCCAGUUUCCAGCCUAAAACAGCAUGAGGACAAGGCCAGGAGGCCACAGCAAGGCUGUAAUCAGAACCCACAAGGAUUGCAUGGAGAUGCUGCAGUGCCGCCACCACCCAACGGCCGGAGCCCCCAGCAAAGGGAAACAAGGCAACUCAGAGGACUGAGAGACUCAGGACUUCCAGACAGAGGAUCAGGCGUACCUCAUGCAUGGGUGUUUUGGAAGAAGGCCAUUUUGAAACCUACUCUGUAUCAUUACAGACUUUCAGUGAAUUAAUUUAGAAUAAAUCCACCUCCUUCCCUGUAUGUGGUAGAAUUUCACUGGGAUACAACGUGAGGACAGAGAUUUGAACCCUCAGUCCCACUUAUGAUGCGGGGCUUCAGGGGCACCACGGACAUGCUCCGCAUUCACCCAUCUGUGGGGGAGGACUAAGGAAGCUGCGCUGGUGUGUGAGAAAGUAAUGGGCUCUUUUAAGCCCUUUUACUUAAAGCAAUAAAAGAAUAACUGCGUCAUCUGCUGGAGUAAAAGUUUUCAACAGAUGACCGGCUUGGUUCUUAAAACACACACACACACACAC
rnacentral:lncRNA from 1 species